GUCUGAGUUAGUAUCAGGUAUAUCCAGCUUCAUUAAAAUAAUUUGUAAUUGUUCUGUCCUUUUGUAUCUCAUGGAAAAAAAUUUACAAGAGAGCCUUAAAAGCCAAUUGAUGUUGACAGCAGAGUAAAAACCCUAAUUACAAAGCACUUGCCAAUAUACAAUAGGAAGAAAAUGGAAUUUGAGUGAUGUUUGAACCAAUAUGAAAAGAUCUUAACAAAAUUAAGGAACCCGAAGAUGAGAGAAUGGAGCAGGAGAGGGGAGAAGAAUCCAAGAGAGAAAAAAUAUAUAAAUUUAAAUCAAGAAGUGAGCGCGCUAGGCUCCCAGCAGGAUAUAUCAAAGUACAGGAAACAAAAAUAAACACGUUUUACAUUUAAUUGCUGAAAUCAAAGGGAGAGAGAAAACACUGAUAAAAACACUAUAAUAAUGUUGCUAUCCAGGAGCAUUAGCUUGGGGAGACCCCAUCCCUGCCGUGAUGAUGGAGGUAAGAGACAGGACAAACACAAUAGCGAAGUACCUCCCCACCCCGCAUCACCUUGCUCUCUUGCUACACAGUAAGUAUUCAGCCCCCAGCAGGUGUCAUAAUUAAGGACCGUCAGAGGCUGGAAAUGAUACCCAGGUGCUUCCCUGGUGCGCUGGAAACUGAGUUUUCCCUUUCAUCGGGAUACUGGGAACAUAGGGAACACUUGAUUUUAAAAAAUUAAAAUCUUUUGAGAUAAACCGGGAAAUCUGAACUCUGGCCAUACCAGAUUUUAUUCCAAAUCUUUCAUCUUUGCGUUAACAGGAAGUUUUGAGGAAUACAGAACACCAUAAAGCUCACUCCAUUGCUCCCUGUAGUCUUCACCCCUCAGGAUAUCGACUCUCCAAAAAAACGCUUUCUCUAUCAGCAUUUGCUUUUUCACAAGGCUACAGGAUAUUGUGCUGCAGUUAGCAAAAUCCUCUGGGAAGGUUCAAAGACACAGGCUGGACUCCAGCAGGAGACUGACCAUGGCAGCCAGAGAUGGGAACCAGGGAGUGUAUGGGUCGUAAGAGGGGGAAAAAAAAAAAAAAACAACGGAGUGGUAAUCACUGAGGGGGGUGCCCAGCUUUGUUUAGGUGACCUUAUCAGCAGCAGGUAUGAGAGGCAAAAACCUGGCCUCUUUGACUGACACUGGUCAUUUCCAUCUCUCAGUGUUGUAAUGACAGAUGUGCCAGCCCUUGGCCAUUGGUUGUUGGGGCUCGCAUAGGAGAGGAGAUCUUUCACUGAGGUGUCAUGCCCCUGCCAAGUUGGAUUCCACCUCCUUGUUUCAGGGCACUCCUCUCUGCUGCAGCAGCUGGGUAUACCAGUUUCUCUUCUCACCUUGUCUGGCCCACCAGCCUCCUGCCCUGCGGCUCUUACUUCAACACCCAGACCUGGAUGAAUGCCUUUCUUUCAGCAAGAAAUUGUCCCACCUUGUUGAUUUGACGAAAACUUUAUGGGUCAAUCUCAGAGAACUGAGCUGUGGAAAGAUCUGAGAGCUGGCCUUGAGCACAAGAUGAAGC
rnacentral:lncRNA from 1 species